rnacentral:rRNA from 1 species
GACGAACGCUGGCGGCGUGCCUAAUACAUGCAAGUAGAACGCUGAAGCUUGGUGCUUGCACCGAGCGGAUGAGUUGCGAACGGGUGAGUAACGCGUAGGUAACCUGCCUGGUAGCGGGGGAUAACUAUUGGAAACGAUGGCUAAUACCGCAUAAGAGUAGAUGUUGCAUGACAUUUGCUUAAAAGGUGCAAUUGCAUCACUACCAGAUGGACCUGCGUUGUAUUAGCUAGUUGGUGAGGUAACGGCUCACCAAGGCAACGAUACAUAGCCGACCUGAGAGGGUGAUCGGCCACACUGGGACUGAGACACGGCCCAGACUCCUACGGGAGGCAGCAGUAGGGAAUCUUCGGCAAUGGACGGAAGUCUGACCGAGCAACGCCGCGUGAGUGAAGAAGGUUUUCGGAUCGUAAAGCUCUGUUGUAAGAGAAGAACGAGUGUGAGAGUGGAAAGUUCACACUGUGACGGUAUCUUACCAGAAAGGGACGGCUAACUACGUG